rnacentral:rRNA from 1 species
UUGAAAGGGAAACGAUUGAAGUCAGUCAUGCCGGUGGGAAUCAACUUAGGGGAAACUCUAGGUGCACUUCUUCGCUUGGCAGGUCAACGUCGAUUUUGAAUGUCAUAAAAUAAUUGGGGGAAGGUAGCUCCUUCGGGAGUGUUAUAGCCCUUGAUAGAUGUGAUGUUUGGGGUCGAGGAUUGCAACGGAUACCCUCUGGGGCUAGCCGCCUGAUCUCUAAUCGGUGUUGGGUUACGGAUAGCAUGCUGACCGUGAUCUAAUUACUGGUUAAAAGGUUAGAGCGUGCAUAAAUUCGUUAAGGAUGUUGACGUA